rnacentral:miRNA from 1 species
UGAAUAAUGGAGACACUCUAG